rnacentral:rRNA from 1 species
GUACACGCUGUGACUAGCAUAUCAAUAAGCGGAGGAAAAGAAACUAACAAGGAUUCCCCUAGUAACGGCGAGUGAAGCGGGAAGAGCUCAAAUUUGAAAUCUUAAAGGGUUUCCCUUUACGAAUUGUAGUUUAAAGAAGUGUUUUCUGUUGAGGUUUUGGUAAAAGUUCUUUGGAAUAGGACAUCAUAGAGGGUGAGAAUCCCGUAUUUGACCUUUACUUUCAACUUUGUGAUACACUUUCAAAGAGUCGGAUUGUUUGGGAAUGCAGUCCAAAAUGGGUGGUAAAUUUCAUCUAAAGCUAAAUAUUGGCGAGAGACCGAUAGCGAACAAGUACCGUGAGGGAAAGAUGAAAAGAACUUUGAAAAGAGAGUUAAACAGUACGUGAAAUUGUCAAAAGGGAAGCGUUUGACACCAGUGUUGUUUUUCUGAAAGUCAAUUAAAGAACUGUUUAUGCUAAGUUGUUUAGACUUUAUCAGCUAACUGUUUAGUUUUGAGCUUUUCUUUAAUGCACUUUCCAGUUAACAAGUCAACAUCAAUUUCUUUUGCUGUAAAAAAGCUUGAGGAAGGUGGCUUGAGAUUCGUCUUAAGUGUUUAUAGCCUCUUGCCUAUGCAGUCGGAGAGAUUGAGGUCUGCAGCGUAGAUCCUUCGGGGCUAAAUGCAUUUGUGCUAAGUUAUAGCAUUUUAUAGACAACUUGUUGACUAUGAUUUGUCUUGUAGCUUACUCGCUUAUGUUAUUUUACCUACGCUUAGGAUGUUGAUAUGCAUGACUGAUAU